GCUGGGGCAUGGUAAUGUGCGCCUGCAAUCCCAGUUACUGGAGAGGCUGAGGUAGAAGGAUUGCUUUGAGCCCAGGAGUUCUAGGCUGUGAUGCACUAUGCUGAUUGGGUAUCUGCACUAAGUUCAUAUCAAUAUGGUGAUCUCCUGGGAGCCAGGUACCACCAGCUUGCCUAAGGAGGGGCGAGCUGGUCCAAUUUGGAAAUGGAGCAGGUAAAAACUUUGUGCUCAUCAGUUGUCGGGGUAGUGCCUGUGAGUAGCCACUACAAUCCAACCUAGGCAGCAUAGCGACACUGUCUCA
rnacentral:SRP_RNA from 1 species